AUGCAUUUCAAAAAUCAAAGCUCCUCUUCUAUGCAUAGACUCUGGAAGAACACACAAAAAAAUUGGAGGAAAUUGAGAAUCUCUGAAAAAUCAUGGACUGACUAUGAAGAAGGGAUCUGCCUGCCUUCUUGGAUGCGCACCGCGUGUCCUCCAGGAUGCUGUCUUCACGCCCAUCCCUUGGGAUGGAUGAGUAUCACAGAGAAAACACAGCUGGCGGGGAAGGUAGCCGCCGCUGACUGCAGGGAGCUAGACAUACGCGUGAUGCCUGAAGUUGCCUGCCAGGCGAACAUGAAACAGCUCAUCCAGGUUGGACAGCGAAGCUCCGUACCUCGGCAUGUGGAAGAAUAUGAAACACUUUCAUGA
rnacentral:lncRNA from 1 species